UACGUAGGGUGCAAGCGUUAAUCGGAAUUACUGGGCGUAAAGCGUGCGCAGGCGGUUAUGUAAGACAGUUGUGAAAUCCCCGGGCUCAACCUGGGAAUUGCAUCUGUGACUGCAUAGCUAGAGUACGGGUAGAGGGGGAUGGAAUUCCGCGUGUAGCAGUGAAAUGCGUAGAUAUGCGGAGGAACACCGAUGGCGAAGGCAAUCCCCUGGACCUGUACUGACGCUCAUGCACGAAAGCGUGGGGAGCAAACAGG
rnacentral:rRNA from 1 species